GACGAACGCUGGCGGCGUGGAUUAGGCAUGCAAGUCGAACGGUAGGAUACCUUCGGGUAUCUGAGAGUGGCGAACGGGUGAGUAACACGUAGGUGAUCUACCCUCAAGAUUGGGACAACCCAGGGAAACUUGGGCUAAUACCGGAUGUGAGCAACUUUUAGUUGUUUGAAAGGUGGCGUAAGCUGUCGCUUGGGGAUGAGCCUGCGUCCUAUUAGUUAGUUGGUGAGGUAACGGCUCACCUAGGCAAUGAUAGGUAGGCGGCCUUAACGGGUGGUCGCCCACACUGGGAUUGAGAUACGGCCCAGACUCCUACGGGAGGCAGCAGUCGAGAAUAGUCUACAAUGGUCGGAAGACUGAUAGUGCGACGCCGCGUGAACGAUGAAUCCCUUCGGGGUGUAAAGUUCUUUUAUAUGUGAGCAGUGCUUCUUAUAUUAACAGUAUGGGGAAGAGAUAUUAGCAUAUGAAUAAGCAACGGCUAACUCCGUGCCCAGCAGCCGCGGUAA
rnacentral:rRNA from 1 species